rnacentral:lncRNA from 10 species
GUAGUGUGUUGGAGCCAGCUCGGACUAGCUUAGAAGAGUCAACUGUGCACGAUGCUUUUCAACUCUGUCUUCAGGGACUUCAGGAGCACUGCUUAAAACCGGCCUUGGUGAGGAGGGAUUUAUUUCAUUUGCUCCUGAAGUUAAAUCUCAUGAAAUCAUGUGAAAUUCAGUGAUGUGUUACUGGGAACAAAAAGGGUUACGUUAUUAAUUGUGAUGCCUUCCCACAAGAGCUGUGUCUGUACUGUGCCACAUAACCCCUGAAGCUGAAUAAAGAACUUUCUCCUUGAUUCCCCCAGCCCUCCAAAAACAUCAGGUGAUGAGGUCCCAUUGUAAAUGACCCAAGGACAAACAGCUCAUGACUUCAAAGGAGGCCUCUUCAACCCAGGGCAAAUUCAGGCCUUCAUUCCAGGGGUCUGUAAGCAAGUACUGAGUGAAGAGAUAUCCUAAAAUCAAUCGGUAAAUUGCAUGUUUGAAGUAAACUAAAAACCAAAUUUCAGGGUUGAUGCUGGCUUUGGAGGAGAUGGGAAAAUCAUUUGUUUGGAGACAAGAAGCAUGUUAUGCCGGUAGAUGUGUGCACAUAUGCUUCUAUAAGUGGGUACAUGCAUUCCCACUUUUCCUGCCAAGUCUUUAGAAAACCACUUAAGUAAGAAUGGAGAAAUGUAGCAUUGUAGCUUCCCUACAGUUUGUGUUCAUUUUGUUUAUUGCAGUUCCUCUUUGCCAACCCUGGAUAAUGGCAACAACUUCUUUAGUGGCAUGCUGCAUGCUCUGUUUGGUCAUGUCCAGAGAUACCCAAGAUAAAGAAGUUUGAUAAAUAUACACAUUAACUCAGCAAAAAUAACAUGGUUAUUUUCAUGAAUAUUGCACUUGGGCACAUCAGCAAAAUUCAAAAGUGAUAAAAGGUGAGCAUUGUAUAUGAAUUUUGCAUAUGUACAUGGUAAUAUUUUGACACUAGGAACAAUAUUUUAAGUUGAAAUGUCUAUAUUUUAAUUUAGUAAAGAUUUGGCAAGCCCCUGCUAUAUUAGCAAUAUCAAGAUAAUGAGAUAAAGAUCCCACUCUCAAUAAAAAUAUAAAAUUAUACAUGUUUCUUGUGCCCAUCAUCAGCCAUCGUUAUGAACAUCACUCUGAACUGUUAUGCACAAUAAGAUAACUAGAGGGUUAAAAAUGAAGGUUUUACUGCUCACGUUGAAUAUUAUUUUUAGAAAAGAAAGUCAUUUCUAUUAUAGAGGAGGCAUUGUGGUCUACUAUAAUGGCAAGCAUAUUAAAAACAAUGCAUUCCUGGUGAAAUAAUGCUUAGAGCAUAGUCAACAAAAUAAGCAGGCUGCUGAAAAAAGUUUAAAUGUCAUAUUUCAUUAAUUCUAAGACACAUUUCCUCCUGCUUUUAGAUCUCUCAAAUUGAAAGGCAUCUUACAACCUAUAGAUGAAAUCUAGUAAAUAGAAUAAGAUAAAAAGUAUCUUAGUUUCUUUCCUUGGGUUGUUUGCCUUUCUUUUAAGGGAAGGUUUGUUUGACUGUUGUGUUUUGUUUUUAACAGCUUGUUUAUGAAUCUUCCCUUUUCUAGCGUUAAUGAUUGUGUGAGCCUAGAAUUUAAAUGGUACAAAACUCUGAUUUUUGUUUUUAUUCUUUGUUCUGACCAUUACUGAGGGGAGUACAGGACACUGAAGCAGAAACAAGGUCUGAAAGUGGCAAUGUGGACCUUGCUCCUCUGUGGAGGACUCUGGUACCUGUCUGUGUCUGAAUCUUGCCACUUCCACUUAUCUAGCUUUGCGAUCUGGAAAAGAUUAACUUUAGCCUCUCUGUGCCUCAGUUUCUUCAAGUGCUGAAUAAUGGUAUCUACCUCAUAGUGCUGCUAUGAGGGUUGAGUUUAAUAUAAGUAAGGCCUUAGAAUAAUGCCUGGCACAUACUAAAUAUUCUCUCAACUUUAGCUGUUACCAUUGUGCCUCACUUCC